rnacentral:sRNA from 1 species
GGAAACAGGUGACGGUCAGUGUCGACA